CAGCACCUCAAGUGGUCAGGAUGAUUAUUGGGCCUAAAGCAUCCGUAGCCGGCUCUGUAAGUGUUCGGUUAAAUCUGUACGCUCAACGUACAGGCUGCCGGGAAUACUGCAGAGCUAGGGAGUGGGAGAGGUAGACGGUACUCGGUAGGAAGGGGUAAAAUCCUUUGAUCUAUUGAUGACCACCUGUGGCGAAGGCGGUCUACCAGAACACGUCCGACGGUGAGGGAUGAAAGCUGGGGGAGCAAACCGGAUUAGAUACCCGAGUAGUAC
rnacentral:rRNA from 1 species